UCUACAGCCAUAUCACCCUGAACGUGUCCUAUCUCAUCUGGUCUUGGAAGCUAAGCUGUGUUGGUCCUGAUUAGUACUUCAAUGGAAGACAAAUCUUCAAAAGAGACUGCUUAAAGAC
rnacentral:rRNA from 1 species